rnacentral:rRNA from 1 species
GAUGAACGCUGGCGGCGUGCUUAACACAUGCAAGUCGAACGGUGAAGGCGGAGCUUGCUCUGCUGGAUCAGUGGCGAACGGGUGAGUAACACGUGAGCAAUCUGCCCCUGACUCUGGGAUAAGCGCUGGAAACGGCGUCUAAUACUGGAUACGAGCUGCGAAGGCAUCUUCAGCAGCUGGAAAGAACUUCGGUCAGGGAUGGGCUCGCGGCCUAGCAGCUUGUUGGUGAGGUAACGGCUCACCAAGGCGUCGACGGGUAGCCGGCCUGAGAGGGUGACCGGCCACACUGGGACUGAGACACGGCCCAGACUCCUACGGGAGGCAGCAGUGGGGAAUAUUGCACAAUGGGCGAAAGCCUGAUGCAGCAACGCCGCGUGAGGGACGACGGCCUUCGGGUUGUAAACCUCUUUUAGCAGGGAAGAAGCGAAAGUGACGGUACCUGCAGAAAAAGCGCCGGCUAACUACGUG